UGGGGAAUAUUGCACAAUGGAGGGAACUCUGAUGCAGCGACGCCGCGUGAGUGAUGAAGGAAUUCGUUUCGUAAAACUCUGUUCUAUGGGAAGAAAAGGACUGUACCAUAGGAGAAAGCUCCGGCUAAAUACGUGCCAGCAGCCGCGGUAAUACGUAUGGAGCGAGCGUUGUCCGGAAUUAUUGGGCGUAAAGGGUGCGCAGGCGGCUUUACAAGUUGGAUGUGAAAUAUUGUGGCUCAACCACAAACGUGCAUCCAAAACUGCAAAGCUUGAGUUAAGGAGAGGUAAGUGGAAGUCCUGGUGUAGCGGUGGAAGGCGUAAAUAUCAGGAGGAAUACCGGUGGCGAAGGCGACUUACUGGACUUAAACUGACGCUAAGGCACGAAAGCGUGGGGAGCAAACAGG
rnacentral:rRNA from 1 species